CCUACGGGGUGCAGCAGUGGGGAAUAUUGCACAAUGGGGGAAACCCUGAUGCAGCGACGCCGCGUGAGCGAAGAAGUAUUUCGGUAUGUUAAGCUCUAUCAGCAGGGAAGAAAAUGACGGUACCUGAGUAAGAAGCUCCGUCUAAAUACGUGCCAGCAGCCGCGGUAAUCCGUAUGGAGCAAGCGUUAUCCGGAUUUACUGGGCGUUAAGGGGGCGUAGGCGGCCUGCCAAGUCUGAUGUGAAAUACCGGGGCUCAACCCCGGGGCUGCAUUGGAAACUGGCAGGCUGGAGUGCCGGAGUGGCAGGCGGAAUGCGUAGUGUAGCGGUGAAAUGCGUAGAUAUUAGGAGGAACACCAGGGGCGAAGGCGGCCUGCUGGACGGUGACUGACGCUGAGGCACGAAAGCGUGGGGAGCAAACAGGAUUAGAUACCCUGGUAGUC
rnacentral:rRNA from 1 species